GCUCUGAAAUGCACCCCAGGGCCAAAUCGCACAGAACAACCCCUCUGAGCCAGAGAAAAAAGCUGGAAUCCGUUUGGUCUGAUAUUUCACCAACACCAGCCAGGAGCGAGGGGAGAGGGAAAGACAGAGAAAGAGAGAAAGUGAGAGAGAUAGGGAGUGAGAGGGGAGAAAAAGGAGACCAGGGCAGAGGAAAAAGGGAUAGAUGGGAAAACGGCAGACCUGGACUGUAUUUAUUGGGGGGCGUGAGUGCCAUGCUGUAGGCUGUGGGAUGGCUGGAAGAGAGAGUGCAAGGUGUUACUUGAGUUAGGUGUGGUUCGGCUGGUUUACAGAGAGCAUGCAUAGAUAGAAUGGUGGAGGAGGAAAAAAAAGGAGGGAGAGAUGGAAGGAUUGGUCAUGCGCAAGGCCUUCUACUUUGAAGUGGGGAGAGGACGGGGAGGUGAGGAGAAGGAGAAAAGGGGGCUGCAGAUUGUACGAUAGUGUGUUUGUCUUCAAAGAGUCCCGACUUGCUUACAAAUGCACUGGUUAGAGGGUCUCUAAAAAACACACGGGGCGCUGUGUCUGUGGGUGAGGUCAACAGUUCCCCGGGACUAUAAAAGCAGCAGGCACCGACACCUGCAGACCGCAGGCCGUUGGAGGCAGCUUAGAAAUCUCUUACAUCUGGAAGAGCCAUAAUUCAUGGGAUUUGGCCUGACAGCCAUGACAGGCAUUGGGGCGGCCAGCAACAACUGUCUCCUGUGUUAGCGGCAGCAGCAUUGUGUGUGUGUGUGUCUACGUGUGUGUGUGUGUGUGUGAAAGUGAGAAACAAAGAGUGACAAUAUCCACUACAGUAUGUGUACAGUGAGCAUGAAACUUUUAUUUAUGCAGUGAACUUGUGGAGAUUAGACCCUGCUGAAUGAGGUUUGCUCAACUUUUUAUUUGUUGAACUAACUUUGGACAUGUGUUCCGGCCUGUGUGUAGGCUGUGUUUAUGGUAAUACAUUCAUAGCACAGUUGUGAAAAAAGGGAGUGAGUACAUUUGCUCAAUUUUAUACUUCAACUUUUGCUCAGAACUGUGGCAGUUUUUUUUUUCCCAAGUGCGGUGCAGAAACUCAGCCUUUGGCUGUGCUUCAAUUUCCUCUCUGGGACUUUA